GCGAUAUUAUGCUUGUUUUGCAUUGUUUUGUAGUUAUUUUGAGAAAGUGAGGAAUGGAGUUAAAGAUAUAGGUCGUAGACUCAAGAAAAGAGCAUAAAAAUGAAGAUUUGAAGAGUCGACGCACCACCCGGCGGCACACUUGUCUAGGGCGAGGAGUAGGCAUGGCGAUUGGCGCUGGGCGUUUCUGAGGGAAACCGCCGGGCGGUUUGGAGGAUUAUGGGAAACCGCCGGGCGGCACACUUAAACCUCCGGGCGGUGGUCCGUUGGGCCUGGG
rnacentral:lncRNA from 1 species